UACGUAGGGUGCAAGCGUUGUCCGGAAUUAUUGGGCGUAAAGAGCUCGUAGGCGGUCUGUUGCGUCCGCUGUGAAAACUCGGGGCUUAACCCCGAGCCUGCAGUGGAUACGGGCAGACUAGAGGUAGGUAGGGGAGAAUGGAAUUCCCGGUGUAGCGGUGAAGUGCGCAGAUAUCGGGAGGAACACCGGUGGCGAAGGCGGUUCUCUGGGC
rnacentral:rRNA from 1 species